CAAUCUGAGGUGGCGACCGGCGCACGGGUGAGUAACACGUAUGCAACCUGCCUGUAAGCGGGGAAUAACCCGUUGAAAGACGGACUAAUACCGCAUAAUACUAAAUUACUGCAUGGUAAUUUAUUUAAACAUUUAUGGCUUACAGAUGGGCAUGCGCAUGAUUAGCUAGUUGGAGAGGUAACGGCUCCCCAAGGCAACGAUCAUUAGGGGUUCUGAGAGGAGGGUCCCCCACACUGGUACUGAGACACGGACCAGACUCCUACGGGAGGCAGCAGUGAGGAAUAUUGGUCAAUGGACGAGAGUCUGAACCAGCCAAGUCGCGUGCAGGAAGAAUUGUCCUAUGGAUUGUAAACCGCUUUUGCAGGGGAAUAAAGUGCAUCACGUGUGAUGUUUUGUAUGUACUCUGCGAAUAAGGAUCGGCUAACUCCGUGCCAGCCGCCGC
rnacentral:rRNA from 1 species